AUUGAACGCUGGCGGCGUGCUUAACACAUGCAAGUCGUGCGGUAACAGGCGUAGCAAUACGUGCUGACGAGCGGCGAACGGGUGCGUAAUACAUGGGAAUCUGCCCUUUAGUGGGGAAUAACCCGGCGAAAGCCGGGCUAAUGCCGCAUAAGAUCUUCGGAUGAAAGCGGGGGAUCGUAAGACCUCGCGCUGAUGGAUGAGCCCAUGUCGGAUUAGCAGUUGGUGAGGUAACGGCUCACCAAGGCGACGAUCCGUAGCUGGUCUGAGAGGACGGCCAGCCACACUGGGACUGAGACACGGCCCAGACUCCUACGGGAGGCAGCAGUGGGGAAUAUUGGACAAUGGGGGAAACCCUGAUCCAGCGACGCCGCGUGUGUGAAGAAGGCCUGCGGGUUGUAAAGCACUUUCAGUAGGGAAGAAAGCCGAGUGCUAUAUCACUCGGUCUUGACGUUACUUACAGAAGAAGCACCGGCUAACUCCGUGCCAGC
rnacentral:rRNA from 1 species